AACCAAAGCACAAUCGACGGGAUGCUGUCACUCUUCAAAAAAGGGUUAUAUUCCGCAAAUUAUCACUGCAAAUUAGUGAACAUUUAACAAUAUGCUAAAAAAAAACCUUGCAAAAUAACCUGGUGAUAAAAAAUUAUAUCACACCACAAAUCAGAAAAUUGCAAACAUACUUAAUAGACCACAAAGGCUUCUGUCACAGCAAUGAGCAACAUAGUGCCUCACCUAACCAUCUCCAAACCCUCAACAUAGUUUCCUGCCAAAGAUAAGAGAGAAAGGGAUCCACAUGAAAGGCUGUUCCUGGUGGGAUUUAUCCUCUCUUGCUUGUGACAUAAGACAGAUUUCAAUUCAGUCUUCCACAAAAUAUGAGAUGUUUACUGAAUGAACCCAGUAUGGAACUGAG